rnacentral:rRNA from 1 species
UACGUAGGGUGCGAGCGUUGUCCGGAAUUAUUGGGCGUAAAGAGCUCGUAGGCGGCCUGUCGCGUCGGAUGUGAAAGCCCGGGGCUUAACCCCGGGUCUGCAUUCGAUACGGGCAGGCUGGAGUGUGGUAGGGGAGAUCGGAAUUCCUGGUGUAGCGGUGAAAUGCGCAGAUAUCAGGAGGAACACCGGUGACGAAGGCGGAUCUCUGGGCCAUUACUGACGCUGAGGAGCGAAAGCGUGGGGAGCGAACAGG